UUCCUUCUAGGCGUUUCUGAAAUUGACGAGUAUGGAGUCAGUACUGGUUUAACUGCAAUAAAUAAUGACGACACUAUAUAUUCUGUUCCUUAUACGUACCGCUAUGAGUUACCUAUUGAUGACGAUGGUGAUGAUUCGGAAGUCUUUGGUGUCCACAGUA
rnacentral:sRNA from 1 species